AUCGAGGGACUUUAGUACUAAAAAAGUGUGAAAAUGGAUAUUGGGAACAGCUAAAAAAAAAUCUCUGCUGAAACUACUAUGGAUAUUCUUGUGUAUGAUUCCUGGUGCUGACCAAGGCAUACACAUAUAUCCAAAUUUCUGGGUAAUUCAUAAAAUUUUCCAUAGUAAUUUUUCAGUUAAUACUGCCAUUUGAAGACCUCUUAUCUUUCCCAUCCCUUGGUAUUUUUAUGUAUUUUAAAUUUAUUAUUAUUAUUAUUUCUUACUGCCUUGUGAAAACAAAGCAAGAAGUAUGCAGCCUGCAACUCAGAAGAGAAGAAUUCUGGCCCUCCCCAGAAUUUGACCUGCUGACCCUCUGAUCUUGGACCACCAGCCACCAGAUCUAUCCACGUAACUCUGGGCCCUUGGCCACUGGCUCAAUGGAGAGGUCUUGGCCACCCCAUCAUUGCUUCAUUUCUCUAUAUAAUUUGCUAUUGUGGCCUUCUGCAAGGUGAAUGCUGGCCUGUGAUACAGACUCAUUUCAAUCAUCGUGGGAGGAACUGGAAAAAGGUCCAGUCCACAGGCUCAACUUAACUGGACUUGCUGAAGUUUCCUCUACCACUUCUGGACUCCAGUGAAUCACAGGUGUGGGGGAUCUGGCUUUCCCAGAAUCUUCUAUGGAGAGCGCAGUAACAUAUAUUGCUGCAAAAUGAAGAGGUCCUGUGAGUUCUGAACAGACAUAUCAAAUAUGGCUAAGUAACCAUCUAUGUCAACGUGUGGAGCUGUGGUC